UACCAUGCAGUCGAACGAUGAAGCCCUUCGGGGUGGAUUAGUGGCGAACGGGUGAGUAACACGAUGGGCAAUCUGCCCUGCACUCUGGGACAAGCCCUGGAAACGGGGUCUAAUACCGGAUAUGACCAUCUUGGGCAUCCUUGAUGGUGUAAAGCUCCGGCGGUGCAGGAUGAGCCCGCGGCCUAUCAGCUUGUUGGUGAGGUAAUGGCUCACCAAGGCGACGACGGGUAGCCGGCCUGAGAGGGCGACCGGCCACACUGGGACUGAGACACGGCCCAGACUCCUACGGGAGGCAGCAGUGGGGAAUAUUGCACAAUGGGCGAAAGCCUGAUGCAGCGACGCCGCGUGAGGGAUGACGGCCUUCGGGUUGUAAACCUCUUUCAGCAGGGAAGAAGCGAAAGUGACGGUACCUGCAGAAGAAGCGCCGGCUAACUACGUGCCAGCAGCCGCGGUAAUACGUAGGGCGCAAGCGUUGUCCGGAAUUAUUGGGCGUAAAGAGCUCGUAGGCGGCUUGUCACGUCGAUUGUGAAAGCUCGGGGCUUAACCCCGAGUCUGCAGUCGAUACGGGCUAGCUAGAGUGUGGUAGGGGAGAUCGGAAUUCCUGGUGUAGCGGUGAAAUGCGCAGAUAUCAGGAGGAACACCGGUGGCGAAGGCGGAUCUCUGGGCCAUUACUGACGCUGAGGAGCGAAAGCGUGGGGAGCGAACAGGAUUAGAUACCCUGGUAGUCCACGCCGUAAACGGUGGGAACUAGGUGUUGGCGACAUUCCACGUCGUCGGUGCCGCAGCUAACGCAUUAAGUUCCCCGCCUGGGGAGUACGCCGCAAGGCUAAAACUCAAGGAAUUGACGGGGGCCC
rnacentral:rRNA from 1 species